AGACGAAAGGCGCCGACAGGGGGCGUGGGAGCAAAAAGGAAGGCGCGCUCACAGCAGCACUUCUUGCUAAGGGUGAGUACCAGGAAGAGGAGUUCUUUGAAAUGAAAUGGAGCAAACCUCUGGAGAGCAAGAAAGCAUAUUCCUAGAAUAUGAGAUACUUUCAGCUUGUUCCUUAAACUGAAUGUCUGUAAAACGUCUUCCCCAUGUAACAGUCAUACUAAGGACUGCGAUUCAGGAUGGAGCCUAAUGUGUACUGAGCUUUCCAGUAAGCACUAGAUCACUGUGACGUUCUGUCUCAAGGAGGAAAGAGUCAUGGAAGGUCCAUGUGUUAAACAGAGUCAUCAUGUGACCUGGCAACUUCACUCAAUGUAUGCACCUAAGAAAAAUGAAAAAUAAAUGUCCACACUGCAGUUGAGAGUAACCUAAAUGUCACCUAAAUGUCAUCGUCUAACAAAUGGAUCAAACGUGGUAGAUCCUUGAAUGGACUGUUUAGCCAUAAAGGAGCAACAUGUUGAUACAAAUUACAAAUCAGACGAACUCCGAAAACACACAAAGUGAAAAGAUGCCAGACACAAAAGGUAACACAAUGGACAUCUGGAAUAGGUGAUCUACAGAGGAACAAAGAGAUUGGUGAUUACCAAGGACAACCAGGAGGAGAGGGAAGAGGCUGCUCACAGGUAGCUCUUCUUUGGAGUCAGUGGUAAUUGCUGCUACUACACUUACUUGUGCAUUAUCCAUUUUUGGUUUAUGUAUUUAGUGUAUGUGUAUGUAGAGGGCAAAUGUGUGUAUAUGCCUAAGGCUAACCCUGUGUCUCCUCAACCACUCACUUCAUUCACUGAGCCAGAGUCUCUCAUUGGAGAGACUGGAGCUCUGUUUUGACUAGUAGGGCUAGCCUGAUUAUUCCAGGGAAUCCUUGUCUCUGCCUCUCACAGGAAUUUUAGGCAAGCUGCCAUGUACAUCAGGAGAUAUAUUAUAUAUAUCUAUCUAUCUAUAAAUUUUUUUUGAAUCCUAGGACUCUAGAUACCUGUCCUUGUACUUGCAUGGCAAACACUUUACCAAUAAAACCAUUUCCCCAGU
rnacentral:lncRNA from 1 species